rnacentral:tRNA from 1 species
CCGAGUGUGGUGUAGUCUGGUGAACAUAGUCGCUUUGGAAGCGAGCGAGCGUAGGUUCAAAUCCUGCCACUCGGACCA